AAGUGGCCAGCGCUCACACUACAAGCCUGAAUGGUGAGGAGGAGGAGGGAGCAAUUGGUGGGGAGGUGAUUCCCUACAAGAAGCUGGUGCAGAGUCUGGAGAAGGCCGUCAAUAGAUUCCAGGAUGGAUCAUGCAGCAACUGUGCCUCUCUCUCUUGGUGAGUGACCCCAUCGAGCCACCACCCAAGGAAACCCCUCCAAAGGCCACAGAGGAGGAAGGCAAUGUUGUCAUUCUGGAUGCCAAGCUGUUCUACAAGCAGCAGGAGAAGGAGGUGGCAGAGAAGAUCAAGGAGAGCCUGGCAGUGACUGAGUAUGCCAAGCCAUCCAGUGCAUUGGUGCUGAGUGGUGUGUCCAGCAGUGUGGUGCAGUACACAGUGUUUGAAAUGCAGCUGUCCUUUACUGUGCUGGAUACAGAGGGUGCACCCACCAAUGACCUGGGCCACAAGAGUGAUCCCUGGCAGGUCACGGCAAGUCUCUUGGGAGGUCCGCCAGGUGCCAUCCUCAUGGGCACCACAACAGUUCCCAACAGGAAUGGCACUGCCAUCUUCACCAACCUGUCUGUCAGCAAGCCCGGGGAAGGCUACAACCUCACUUUCACCAUCAUCUACCCCAGCUAUGCUCCAGCCCUCACCACCACCCUGGAGGAGACCUUCAGCUUGACACAGAUGAGUGCAGCAAUGGUCCUGCAGCAGCCCAGCAUAGUGCAGGCUGGACAACCCACCACCAUCACUGUUCACUUUGUUGACAAGGACUCUGGCUUGGUUUUUAAUGGCCUGGCUUUCAAGGCCAGACAUUUGUGGGCAAACUGCUGGCAAAGACUGCUGAGGGACACUUUGAGGUUAUCCAGAGGUAUGCCAAGUAAGAAACAGAAGAGAAUGUUACAAGGAGGAGGCAGCAGGCACCUGCCAAAAUGAUAAUUACUCCCAGUGAUGUCUAAAGCACUGGAUGAUGGGGUGCUGUGAACUUAUCAUUAAACGCAGCUGUGACCUCAAUGAAUGUUUCCCUUAGUGUCUCACAAGAAAAGGGGACAGUCACAGCCUGCUCUCUAAAGACAACUCUCUUCCUUCACACAAAACUACAAGCAUCUAAUUACACACACACCCUUCACUCAAUUAUCAUGGAGACUCCUACACCAGCCUCAUAGAGUCACCAUCGGGGGAGGGGACAACAAAUGUCCCCAGGCUGUAUGUACCAGAUGAGGCCGUGUCAAUGCUCACCUUUGAGAACGUCAUAUUUGAGGCGCCUGACGUGAGACAGCAACUCAUAGCCAAGGUUGCUGUUGUCUCCGCUAGCUGGACUGGUGGUGUAUCCCUCACAUCUGGUCAUCAAGGAGUACCCCAUGGUCAAGUCCUUGCACACCGAUCUGUUCUGAUGGAAGCAGUUGGAGGGUGUGGAGGAUGUGGUGAGAAUGACUGUCCUUAUCACCCAUCUGUUAUAUCCUUCAGUAUCUUCUUUUCUUCACCUGCACUGUGUUUUUUUCCUCAUGCAUCCUUCAGUAAUAUUGUUUUCUUCAUGCCUCCUGUGUUCUUUUUGCUUCUGUUCUAUCCUUCAUUAUACUUUUCUGUUAUAUCCUUCAGUGAUAUCCUUUUUCUCCUGCAGUGUAUUCUUUUUCCCUCUUAUCAUAUCAUGUAUCCUUCAAUGAUAUCUUUUCUUCAUCUUUGCUGUAUUCUUUUUCCUCUACCUUAUCCUUCAUUAUCCAUUUCUUCACUCAUCCUGUAUUCCUCUUUCUUCUUCCUUUAAUGCACACUUUCCUCCACACACACAAUUUAAACCUUUCUAUCAUGCAUAGUUACCCUCAUCCCCUCCUUGCCCCACGCGCGCACGCACGCGCGCGCGCGCACGCACGCACGCACGCACGCACGCACGCACGCACGCACGCACGCACGCACGCACGCACGCACGCACGCACGCACGCACACACACACACACACACACACACACACACACACACACACACACACACACACACACACACACACACACACCUUUUCCUUGUCUUCCUCAUUUACUUGCAUUUUUCUCAUUCUCUACCUCCUGGUCUUUUCCUUCAUCCUUCUCUCUCUCUCUCUCUCUCUCUCUCUCUCUCUCUCUCUCUCUCUCUCUCUCUCUCUCUCUCUCUC